rnacentral:rRNA from 1 species
CGAAAGCCUGACGGAGCAAUACCGCGUGAGGGAGGAAGGCUCUUGGGUCGUAAACCUCUUUUGUCAGGGAAGAACACAAUGACGGUACCUGACGAAUCAGCAUCGGCUAACUCCGUGCCAGCAGCCGCGGUAAUACGGAGGAGGCAAGCGUUAUCCGGAAUGAUUGGGCGUAAAGCGUCCGCAGGUGGCAAUGUAAGUCUGCUGUCAAAACCCAGGGCUCAACUCUGGUCAGGCAGUGGAAACUGACAGGCUAGAGUGCAGGAGGGGUAGAGGGAAUUCCCGGUGUAGCGGUGAAAUGCGUAGAUAUCGGGAAGAACAUCGGUGGCGAAGGCGCUCUACUGGACUGCAACUGACACUCAGGGACGAAAGCUAGGGGAGCG